GCACACUUGAUUGUUUAACACUGUGGAACAAUUGAGACUAUAAUUUAGAGCCCCAUUGAGGGAUCCUAUUCUUUAAUUUGAAGUCCACAACUGAUGCGCCAUGUGGGUGCACAUGGGGAACCAGGUCCCUCUUCUAUGCUGCACACGAUUGAGCAGCAAUAGCUACUGUUUAAAAGACAUGCCCACUUGCAGCAUGGCAAGUGUG